GACGAACCGUACGAACGUUAUUCGGAAUUACUGGGCUUAAAGGGUGCGUAGGCGGCGCGGAAAGUAGGGUGUGAAAUCCCUCGGCUCAACCGAGGAACUGCGCCCUAAACUACCGUGCUCGAGGGAGGUAGAGGUGAGCGGAACUGAGGGUGGAGCGGUGAAAUGCGUUGAUAUCCUCAGGAACACCGGUGGCGAAAGCGGCUCACUGGACCUCUUCUGACGCUGAGGCACGAAAGCUAGGGUAGCGAACGGG
rnacentral:rRNA from 1 species